GCUGGACAGCAAACAGCAGCUCCAUGUGAGACUUAAAAGGCAGGGUCAAGGCCUGUUUUCUGAUAACCUUAUCAUUGUGCUGGAUCGCACCGCUCCUCAGAGACUUGGGCUUGCUUGGUUUUGUUCCCUUCUUCAUUCGGCUUUUGCCGGAUUCUGGAACACGCAGAGGAGAAAUGGAACAGCGAGGGGCAGAAUACACAGGCUCCAUGGGUGGAGGUGGAGAAAACACUCACGCCCAGGGCCAUGUGUCUGCUAAACGCUGCUCCUCUGAUGCUUCUGAGAGAUUCCCUGCUCAGCUUUGAGGUGAAGCAAGUCAGAGACGCGAGAGCCUGGAAGCAAAGGGUUAGAAAUGACGGAAUUUCCGAGUUCCACUUCUGCCUGCGACCUGCAUCCAUCAACUUCAUCAAGAAAGUUCUUAAAGCAACAAAGUAUUGCUCUUCCAAGAUGUAGCCUGUCGCCACUCUUCCAAAAAAGCAAGAACUAACAAAACACUAUAAAAAC
rnacentral:lncRNA from 1 species